UACAGAGGGUGCGAGCGUUAAUCGGAAUUACUGGGCGUAAAGCGCGCGUAGGCGGCUUUGCAAGUCGGGUGUGAAAUCCCCCGGCUUAACCGGGGAACUGGCGUAGAUACGACCGUCCUUGAGGGGCGUAGGGGGACCUGGAACUUCCGGUGGAGCGGUGAAAUGCGUUGAGAUCGGAAGGAACGCCCGUGGCGAAAGCGAGGUCCUGGACGCCUACUGACGCUGAGACGCGAAAGCCAGGGGAGCGAACGGG
rnacentral:rRNA from 1 species